rnacentral:rRNA from 1 species
UGGGGAAUAUUGCACAAUGGGCGCAAGCCUGAUGCAGCCAUGCCGCGUGUAUGAAGAAGGCCUUCGGGUUGUAAAGUACUUUCAGCGGGGAGGAAGGGAGUAAAGUUAAUACCUUUGCUCAUUGACGUUACCCGCAGACGAAUCACCGGCUAACUCCGUGCCAGCAGCCGCGGUAAUACGGAGGGUGCAAGCGUUAAUCGGAAUUACUGGGCGUAACGCGCACGCAGGCGGUUUGUUAAGUCAGAUGUGAAAUCCCCGGGCUCAACCUGGGAACUGCAUCUGAUACUGGCAAGCUUGAGUCUCGUAGAGGGGGGUAGAAUUCCAGGUGUAGCGGUGAAAUGCGUAGAGAUCUGGAGGAAUACCGGUGGCGAAGGCGGCCCCCUGGACGAAGACUGACGCUCAGGUGCGAAAGCGUGGGGAGCAAACAGG